rnacentral:rRNA from 1 species
UACGUAGGUGACCAGCGUUGUCCGGAUUUACUGGGCGUAACGAGCGCGCAGGCGGUCGUUCAAGUCGAGUGUGAAAGCCCCCGGCUCAACUGGGGAGGGUCACUCGAUACUGAUCGACUUGAAGGCAGGAGAGGGAAGCGGAAUUCCCGGUGUAGUGGUGAAAUGCGUAGAUAUCGGGAGGAACACCAGUGGCGAAGGCGGCUUCCUGGCCUGUUCUUGACGCUGAGGCGCGAAAGCUAGGGGAGCAAACGGG